GAUGAACGCUGGCGGCGUGCUUAACACAUGCAAGUCGAACGAAGCACUUUAUUUGAUUUCCUUCGGGACUGAUUAUUUUGUGACUGAGUGGCGGACGGGCGAGUAACGCGUGGGUAACCUGCCUUGUACAGGGGGAUAACAGUUGGAAACGGCUGCUAAUACCGCAUAAGCGCACAGCAUCGCAUGAUGCAGUGUGAAAAACUCCGGUGGUAUAAGAUGGACCCGCGUUGGAUUAGCUAGUUGGUGAGGUAACGGCCCACCAAGGCGACGAUCCAUAGCCGACCUGAGAGGGUGACCGGCCACAUUGGGACUGAGACACGGCCCAAACUCCUACGGGAGGCAGCAGUGGGGAAUAUUGCACAAUGGGCGAAAGCCUGAUGCAGCGACGCCGCGUGAGCGAAGAAGUAUUUCGGUAUGUAAAGCUCUAUCAGCAGGGAAGAUAAUGACGGUACCUGACUAAGAAGCACCGGCUAAAUACGUG
rnacentral:rRNA from 1 species